rnacentral:lncRNA from 1 species
UCCACGGUGAGAAAGAGACCCGAUCUAACCCAGGCCUUUCAUCAGAGCCCAGGAGGGAAGGCAGGAAGUGGGACCACGAGGCCCGGGGGGCUUCUAACUCGUCUGGCCAGGGAGAUCUGAAUUGGGGUGAAGAGCAGAAUCUCCAGAACAAGGAGGAGGUGGUGAUCAUGGAGACAGAUUUGGCUGAAAUGCCUGAGAAAGGAGGUGAGAAUUGCGGACGUGUUGAACUUGUAGCGUGGAAGGACGAAAUUCCUGCUCCUGAAGGGAAAACGGUUGGCUCAGGGGAGGUGGCUCUUGGCUGGCUGUCUCCAUUGUCUUGGGGAUGGAUGGGCUUUUUAAGUGAGACUGAAGAGCUUGGUAUGGGAGCACCGCCCUUUCCAUGGCAGCUGGGCACACAGUGGACCCUUCAAAGCUACCCCCAAAAUUUCUGUCUUCCCAGGAUUCUCCCCAUUUCCAAGAGAAGAGCACAGAAGAGGGAGAAGUGGCUGCUCUGCGCCUCACGGC